GCCCGUUUAGCUCAGAGGUAGAGCAAUCGCCUUGUAAGCGAUAGGUCGUGGGUUCAAAUCCCACAACGGGCUCCA
rnacentral:tRNA from 1 species